rnacentral:rRNA from 1 species
AUGCUCUGAUGCUUAUUGCACCACAUGUGUUUUUCUUUGAAACAAACUUGCUUUGGCGGUGGGCCCAGCCUGCCGCCAGAGGUCUAAACUUACAACCAAUUUUUUAUCAACUUGUCACACCAGAUUAUUACUAAUAGUCAAAACUUUCAACAACGGAUCUCUUGGUUCUCGCAUCGAUGAAGAACGCAGCGAAAUGCGAUACGUAAUAUGAAUUGCAGAUAUUCGUGAAUCAUCGAAUCUUUGAACGCACAUUGCGCCCUCUGGUAUUCCGGAGGGCAUGCCUGUUUGAGCGUCGUUUCUCCCUCAAACCGCUGGGUUUGGUGUUGAGCAAUACGACUUGGGUUUGCUUGAAAGACGGUAGUGGUAAGGCGGGAUCGCUUUGACAAUGGCUUAGGUCUAACCAAAAACAUUGCUUGCGGCGGUAACGUCCACCACGUAUAUCUUCAAACUUUGACCUCAAAUCAGGUAGGACUACCCGCUGAACUUAAGCAUAUCAAAAGCCGGAGGAA